rnacentral:rRNA from 1 species
CAGCAGAGGAAGGUGGAAUUCCCGGUGUUAUUGGUGAAAUGCGUAGAUAUCGGGAGGAACACCCGCGGCGAAGUCGGCCUUCUGGGCUGUUCCUGACGCUGAAGGCGAAAGCUAGGGGAGCGAACGGGAUUAGAUACCCCGGUAGUCCUAGCUGUAAACGAUGGAUGCUGGGUUUGGGGGGUGUAAAUUCCCUCUGUGCCGAAGCAAACGCGUUAAGCAUCCCGCCUGGGGACUACGGCCGCAAGGCUAAAACUCAAACGAAUUGACGGGGGCCCGCACAAGCAGCGGAGCGUGUGGUUUAAUUCGAUGCUACACGAAGAACCUUACCUGGGUUUGACAUGCACGUGGUAGGGAACCGAAAGGGGACCGACCUUCGGGAGCGUGCACGGGUGCUGCAUGGCUGUCGUCAGCUCGUGCCGUGAGGUGUCGGGUUAAGUCCCGUAACGAGCGCAACCCUUGCCCUUAGUUACAAGUGUCUAAGGGGACUGCCCGGGACAACUGGGAGGAAGGUGGGGAUGACGUCAAGUCAGCAUGGCCUUUAUAUCCAGGGCUACACACACGCUACAAUGGCCAGUACAAUAGGUAGCCAAGUCGUGAGACGGAGCCAAUCCUUAAAGCUGGUCUCAGUUCGAAUUGCAGUCUGCAACUCGACUGCAUGAAGCUGGAGUUGCUAGUAAUCGCAGGUCAGCCAUACUGCGGUGAUACGUUCCCGGGCAUUGUACACACCGCCCGUCACGUCAUGGAAGCUGGCAACGCCUGAAGCCGGUGAGCUAACCCGAAAGGGGGCAGC